rnacentral:rRNA from 1 species
GACGAACGCUGGCGGCGUGCUUAACACAUGCAAGUCGAACGGAAAGGCCUGCAGCUUGCUGCGGGUACUCGAGUGGCGAACGGGUGAGUAACACGUGGGUGAUCUGCCUUUCACUUCGGGAUAAGCUUGGGAAACUGGGUCUAAUACCGGAUAGGACAGCUGUUUAGUGUCAGUUGUGGAAAGUUUUUUCGGUGCAAGAUGAGCUCGCGGCCUAUCAGCUUGUUGGUGGGGUAAUGGCCUACCAAGGCGUCGACGGGUAGCCGGCCUGGGAGGGUGGACGGCCACAUUGGGACUGAGAUACGGCCCAGACUCCUACGGGAGGCAGCAGUGGGGAAUAUUGCACAAUGGGCGGAAGCCUAAUGCAGCGACGCCGCGUGGGGGAUGAAGGCCUUCGGGUUGUAAACUCCUUUCGACAGGGACGAAGCUUUUGUGGCGGUACCUGCAUAAGAAGCACCGGCUAACUACGUG